UACGGGGGGAGCAAGCGUUGUUCGGAUUUACUGGGCGUAAAGAGCUCGUAGGCGGCUCGUUGCGUCGGCUGUGAAAACCCGCAGCUCAACUGUGGGCUUGCAGCCGAUACGGGCGGGCUGGAUUCGGUAGGGGAGACGUGGAAUUCCUGGUGUAGCGGUGAAAUGCGCAGAUAUCAGGAGGAACACCGGUGGCGAAGGCGGGUCUCGUGGCCGAUAUCGACGCUGAGGAGCGAAAGCGUGGGAGCGAACAGGAUAGAU
rnacentral:rRNA from 1 species